UUAAUUUGUAGGUAAAGCAUAUGUGGAGACGAGGGGAUCCGCAAAGAUCCUUCGAUCUCGAUUUCAAAUCCAAGGUAAGUGAUUUUAAUAUUAUUUUUUUGUUUCAUAUACAUGUAUACUAAUAUCUAUUUUAAAUCUUUUUAGAUGCAUACGAGAGGGAGCGACCGGAUGAUCGGACGACCGAAUACAUCAUAGGGAGUAAUCCAUCCCUUUCCUUUUACAUUUAUGCAUUUUAUUUAAUUUAGCAUUAUGCAUAUAGAAAUAGAUUUAUUUUUACGUCGGUCCCGGGACAUGCAUGCAUUAAUUUUUUUGUUUCUAUAUUUUAUACUAACUUAUUUUCAAGUGUUUUUAAUUUGUAGGUAAAGCUUAUGUGGAGACGAGGGGAUCCGCAAAGAUCCUUCGAUCUCGAUUUCAAAUCCAAAGUAAGUGAUUUUAAUAUUAUUUUUUUGUUUCCUAUACAUAUACUAAUAUCUAUUUUAAAUCUUUUUAGAUGCAUACGAGAGGGAGCGGCCGGAUGAUCGGACGACCGAAUACAUCAGAGGGAGUAAUCCGUCCCUUUCCUUUUACAUUUAUGCGUUUAAUUUAAUUUAGCAUUAUGCAUAUAGAAAUAGAUUUAU